rnacentral:rRNA from 1 species
UAGGGAAUCUUCGGCAAUGGACGGAAGUCUGACCGAGCAACGCCGCGUGAGUGAAGAAGGUUUUCGGAUCGUAAAGCUCUGUUGUGAGAGAAGAACGAGUGUGAGAGUGGAAAGUUCACACUGUGACGGUAUCUUACCAGAAAGGGACGGCUAACUACGUGCCAGCAGCCGCGGUAAUGCGUAGGUCCCGAGCGUUGUCCGGAUUUAUUGGGCGUAAAGCGAGCGCAGGCGGUUAGAUAAGUCUGAAGUUAAAGGCUGUGGCUUAACCAUAGUACGCUUUGGAAACUGUUUAACUUGAGUGCAAGAGGGGAGAGUGGAAUUCCAUGUGUAGCGGUGAAAUGCGUAGAUAUAUGGAGGAACACCGGUGGCGAAAGCGGCUCUCUGGCUUGUAACUGACGCUGAGGCUCGAAAGCGUGGGGAGCAAACAGGAUUAGAUACCCUGGUAGUCCACGCCGUAAACGAUGAGUGCUAGGUGUUAGACCCUUUCCGGGGUUUAGUGCCGCAGCUAACGCAUUAAGCACUCCGCCUGGGGAGUACGACCGCAAGGUUGAAACUC